GAUGAACGCUGGCGGCGUGCUUAACACAUGCAAGUCGAACGAAGCACUUUAUUUGAUUUCUUCGGAAUGAAGAUUUUGUGACUGAGUGGCGGACGGGUGAGUAACGCGUGGGUAACCUGCCUCAUACAGGGGGAUAACAGUUGGAAACGACUGCUAAUACCGCAUAAGCGCACAGGGUCGCAUGACCUGGUGUGAAAAACUCCGGUGGUAUGAGAUGGACCCGCGUCUGAUUAGCCAGUUGGUGGGGUAACGGCCUACCAAAGCGACGAUCAGUAGCCGACCUGAGAGGGUGACCGGCCACAUUGGGACUGAGACACGGCCCAAACUCCUACGGGAGGCAGCAGUGGGGAAUAUUGCACAAUGGGGGAAACCCUGAUGCGGCGACGCCGCGUGAGCGAAGAAGUAUUUCGGUAUGUAAAGCUCUAUCAGCAGGGAAGAAGAAAUGA
rnacentral:rRNA from 1 species